UCAGGUUCUACAGUUAUGGUUUGGAAAAAGAAUUUAGAGAGGAUCUAUACACAGACUUUGAACAGCUUACCCUUGAGUUCUUCCAGAAAGGAAAUCUUUAUGGCCUUGAGAAAUACUGGGCUUUCCACCACUAUCGUAGACAACGAGAUCAGAAAGAACCCCUAAGAAAACAUCCAGAAUUGGAUAAGUUACUUAGGGAGGAAUACCG
rnacentral:misc_RNA from 1 species